rnacentral:rRNA from 1 species
GACGAACGCUGGCGGCGUGCUUAACACAUGCAAGUCGAACGGUAAGGCUCCAGCUUGCUGGGGUACACGAGUGGCGAACGGGUGAGUAACACGUGGGUGACCUGCCCUGCACUUCGGGAUAAGCCUGGGAAACUGGGUCUAAUACCGGAUAGGACCAUGGUGUGGAUACUGUGGUGGAAAGUUUUUUCGGUGUGGGAUGGGCCCGCGGCCUAUCAGCUUGUUGGUGGGGUAAUGGCCUACCAAGGCGGCGACGGGUAGCCGGCCUGAGAGGGUGGACGGCCACAUUGGGACUGAGACACGGCCCAGACUCCUACGGGAGGCAGCAGUGGGGAAUAUUGCACAAUGGGCGGAAGCCUGAUGCAGCGAAGCCGCGUGGGGGAUGAAGGCCUUCGGGUUGUAAACUCCUUUCACCAUCGACGAAGGGUUUCUGACGGUAGAUGGAGAAGAAGCACCGGCUAACUACGUG